rnacentral:rRNA from 1 species
GAUGAACGCUAGCUACAGGCUUAACACAUGCAAGUCGAGGGACCGGCGCGCGGGUGCGUAACGCGUAUCCAACCUGCCCUCUACUCGGAACAGCCCGUCGGAAGGCGGAUUAAUGCCGAUGGUAGAGGAUGGGGAUGCGACUGAUUAGCUAGUUGGCGGGGUAACGGCCCACCAAGGCUACGAUCAGUAGGGGUUCUGAGAGGAAGGUCCCCCACAUUGGAACUGAGACACGGUCCAAACUCCUACGGGAGGCAGCAGUGAGGAAUAUUGGUCAAUGGGCGAGAGCCUGAACCAGCCAAGUAGCGUGCGGAUGACGGCCUAUGGGUUGUAAACGCUUUUGAUUGGGAACGUGUACCCUUCGAAUAAGCAUCGGCUAAUUCCGUGCCAGCAGCCGCGGUAAUACGGAAGAUGCGAGCGUUAUCCGGAUUUAUUGGGUUUAAAGGGAGCGUAGGCGGCUGUAAGUCAGCGGUCAAAUGUCAGGGCCCAACCUUGGCAUGCCGUUGAUACUGCGGCCUUGAGUUACACAAGGAAGGUGGAAUUCGUCGUGUAGCGGUGAAAUGCUUAGAUAUGACGAAGAACUCCGAUUGCGAAGGCAGCCUUCUGGGGUUUACUGACGCUGAGGCUCGAAGUGCGGGAAUCAAACAGGAUUGAUACCCUGGUAGUCCGCACCGUAAACGAUGAGCGCCCGUCAUUGGCCAGUGACCAAGGGAAACCGUUAAGCGCUCCACCUGGGGAGUACGCCGGCAACGGUGCAACUCAAAUGAAUUGAC